rnacentral:lncRNA from 1 species
UGGGGAAAUUGAAAUGUAAAGGGGAGCUUCUAGUCUUGAUUUCGAUUGAUUUUUAAAGGGAUGAUGAGGAACUAAGGAGGGCUGCUGGAGGCAGCAGGUCAUUGAGACUAUUGUCUCGGCAGAAAUGAUAGAGGUUUCUGUGUUGGAAGUGUAGUAGCUACAUCUGUCUUUCUCCGCCUUGAAGGGCAAGCAUUAUUCCUGCAACUAUGUGAUCAUUCUGGCUGGAAGGUUCAAAGACAAGAGGGUUGGCCUUUUGAAGUGCAUAAAUUGCAGUAAAGGAACAAGGGCAAUAAGGUCUGUGAGCCAAAUUCAGAUGCGAGAGAAGCGGGAGUUUUGAAAUUGAGGCUGAGGUUGCAGAGGACAAGGGGUUAAGGCACAACAUAGAUGACACUUGGGUUCUGCUCCUGGAUGCGAGCUUGGAUUUUCAAAGAAAGUUGAGGUUCCUAAUGCUUUGGUUUUGUUUAUUAUGCAUGGUGUUCGGGUCUGAUGUAGUAUUGUAAAUGAAGUAUUGUUGGAAGGUGUUUCGUAAAGUAACGGAAUUUGAACGUUGACUAGCAUUAUAGUAUGCUAAGAAGCAUUUGCAUACAGAUCUGCUUUCAGUUGGAUUACCACUUGAGUUCGUUUGUUUACAGUUUACGUGGUUUGAUUUCAUGUCUAUGUUAGGCACUUAAUAGCUUAUAUUAAAAUAAUCAUGAUUUGAUGACAAUUAAUAGGUAAUAAGAUUAGAUCUGAGUAUUAAGUCUCAUGUAGGAAUCAUGAGGUUACUGCAUUAACAAUUUGCAUCCCUACAAUCUGUUGGAGACUAAUUGGAUUAUGUGGUGUUGCAGUUGAAUGUAAAAGCAGCCAAGGAAGCCACUCUGGAUGGUACAAAUUUAUUGUGCAAUUUUGCAACUUAUUUUGCAAGAUAUGUUUUUUUGUAUUGCAUACUUCAUCCAUUUUGGAUUGCUGCUUGGUAGCUGAUAUGUAUUUGAACUUCCCUAAUUUAGAUUCGGGGAAACUGAUGAGGCUAUUCAUAUGCACACAUGUGGUAAUUUGAUGUAUAUAUUAUUUUAUUGCUUUCAUCGAAUACCCCUCAUUUUCGAUUAUGUUGAUGAUGAUGAAUUGAUUAUGAAUUCCUGUUGUAAACCUAAUGUU